UAGGUGUUUUCUUUGUCCAUUCCUGAUCAGUUUUCUUACCACCCUCCCCAUGAAAAGUAGGUGAUCUGGGUGAAUUCAUUCACAACCUGGUUCAAUUUCUCAAGAACAUGUAUUGAUCACUGCCAUAGUUCAAAGGAGGGUCUCGAGUAGGGAGGUGAGAGUGGGGGUCUUUGAAAGCAGUAGGGAAUGAAGGGAGGAGCCCACUGGGAGCUGGGAUUCUUGAACUCCCAGGUAAUGCAGAGAAUGCGGUGAUUUAUGAACUGUAUUGUACUAAGCUAUAGUAAAAUUGUUUGGUACAACUUAGAGCACACUAUAUUUCUUCAAACACAGUGAUUUCAUUUCGACCUGAACAGUUACUCUGCAGUCCAUAAAAUAUUAACAUUGCCUUUCUAAACAUAUACAUUAUUUACUGUACAGUGUAUAAAAUAUUUAUGUGAUUUUCUCUAAAGAUACUGUAUAUAGUGCAUUAUUUUUAUCCACUUUUUCCCCCUCCUGGAAGCAGGCAUGCCGUGAACUGGAAAAUGUUUUUGAAAUCAAGGAAAAGCAGCAAAAAGGAAGGCGUUACCAUGGAACUGAGAGAGGAGAUAAAAAUCUUUGUUCCUGAUGGUCUUGUUCCCACCUGCCUGGGUGCUGCAGCUCUGUGCUGCCUGAGAAAGCCAGUGACCAAGAGGAGCAGAAGACUACCAGUCGACCUUCCAACCACGAUGGCCGUUGAAGAGAUGCCAUCAAGCCAGGGUCUCUGCUUCUCCCUGCUGCAGCCUGUAUCCGAGACUGGCUUCCUGACCUGCACCUCAGUGAAAGGAAGGAAAGAGAAGGGGAAAGAGAAACAGAAGGUACAGCAACUUUUUAAUAACUUUUUUCCUUAUUCCUUUUGCUCACAGUAAUUCUCACACUCUGCACCUGCCCCGAAGGUUUG
rnacentral:lncRNA from 1 species